UGUUAUCAUUCGGUCGCAGACUGCGCAAGCGACGAGCCGCGUCGAUCCAAAUAAAAAAAUGAAACCGGAAAAAUCGUGACGAGAAUUAUAAUCAUUACAAAUAGAAGUGACUUUGUGUACAAAUUCUAAAAAUAAAACGUGUAGUUACUGAUUAUUGUUAAUAAUGACUUAAUAUUUGGACAAUUCAAAUAUGAAUAUGAAGUUUCAAGAAUAGAAAAACAAUUGAAUCAAACGAUUGUGAUUUUUAAGAAGAUUUUUUUAACAAUGAGCACAUUUGAACCCUAAUCAAAUGUGGACUUACUCGAGCGUGGACAUCCCAGCGAGUAGAAUCAGUCGAGCGGAGAGAAUAAGGAUAUACGUGUCGGAGUGCGUUGUGUGUUUUUGUAUAUUAUUUUUCAUUGUGUGUGUAGGCCUACUUCUAUACUUGUUCUUCCAUUUGUAUAGUACUGUGACAAACACACGUAAAGCCGUCGAAACUAUGAUUGAAAGUUAAAUUUGAAAUGUUUUCUAACAUUUUAUUAUUGCCAAUAUCAUAAAGUUCAAAUCACUUGAUAUUGUUCUUUGAGAAAAUAAUAAGAUAUCUUGUAUAAAUUAUGAGUGAUUUCUAGUAAUUUUAGUAUCGGAAUAUUGUUAUAAAUUCUGUAUAAAUAAAUGCGUAAUUUAAUAUUUAUAUAAUUAUGAUAAUUGAAUAAAUUUGUAAUUUGUUGUACGCAUUGAUAAGGUUGCCGUGGCUUAUACUAAUGAUUUUGUAGCAAUUAAAAAUAUAAGCAAUUCUACUAUCUAUGUAAUAGAAGCUGGUCUUAUAAAUCAUACUUAAAUUAAUAACUUCAGCAUUUCAUAAACACUGUAUUACAAUUUUAUUAUUAAUUAAUAUGUGUACUGUAGAAUAUGUACUAUAAAUUAUUAUAUUAUAUUAAUAAUGUUUAUUAGAAACAAAGAAAUCAAGAAGCGUAUCUAAUUAAAACGUUGACGAACAAUAAAAUGUGAUAUUAAUUUACAUUUUCAUAUAUUUUCCUUUUCAACUUAGAAUUUCCGUCACUAAUUGUACAUGUUGCAGUCAUAAUCUGUCCCGGCCAAAAUUACUUUUGACCGAUAAAAAUGUUAAAGGAUAAAAAAUUAAACGGGCUUAAAAAAUAACAGAAAAUCUGAGAAAUCGGUGUAGCCUUUGACGAGUUUUAUGUUUUUUUGACUUUUCUGUCUUAAUUAAAAUAUCUUGAAUAACACUAAAAUACUGACAUACUAAACAUUGUAUGAUUUUUUGUACAAUACGGAUUAGUAUAUUUAAAAACGAGCGAUCCGAAGUACUCAUUUAGAUACAUUUGAAGUAUAAUGUCGUUUAAAUAACUGAAAUUACUUGUCACUUAGAUUGACGACAGUUGUAGUUUUUUCCAAAUUCAAAUUCAAAAAAAUUUCUCUUUCUUUUUUUAACAAAGGUAUAAGCGUAUCUGCUUGUAUUGAAUACUAUCUCUGUAUUGAGAUAUCAUAAGUACCACAGAUCAUAUAAUAUAUUCCCAGGUAGGCUACGCUAAUCUUACCUAGGUCUUUACUCAAAAGUUAUUUUAACCGGAAAAUAGUUUUAACUGUAACAUAUAUAUUGAAUUGAGAAGCAAAAUAAAAACAAUCAACCUGAAGUUGUCUAUGGAUGAUAACAAUGACCAUUGAGUUACUUCAAAUAUAACACAAAUAAAUAUUAUAAUUAUAGA